rnacentral:rRNA from 1 species
AUUGAACGCUGGCGGCAUGCUUUACACAUGCAAGUCGAACGGUAACAGGCCGCAAGGUGCUGACGAGUGGCGAACGGGUGAGUAAUGCAUCGGAACGUGCCCAGUCGUGGGGGAUAACGCAGCGAAAGCUGUGCUAAUACCGCAUACGAUCUAUGGAUGAAAGCGGGGGACCGUAAGGCCUCGCGCGAUUGGAGCGGCCGAUGUCAGAUUAGGUAGUUGGUGGGGUAAAGGCUCACCAAGCCAACGAUCUGUAGCUGGUCUGAGAGGACGACCAGCCACACUGGGACUGAGACACGGCCCAGACUCCUACGGGAGGCAGCAGUGGGGAAUUUUGGACAAUGGGCGCAAGCCUGAUCCAGCAAUGCCGCGUGCAGGAAGAAGGCCUUCGGGUUGUAAACUGCUUUUGUACGGAACGAAACGGCGAGCUCUAAUACAGUUUGCUAAUGACGGUACCGUAAGAAUAAGCACCGGCUAACUACGUGCCAGCCGCCGCAGUAAAAC